rnacentral:rRNA from 1 species
UCUUGAGUGGAUCCUGAGUACGACGGAGCACGUGAAAUUCCGUCGGAAUCUGGGAGGACCAUCUCCUAAGGCUAAAUACUCUCUAGUGACCGAUAGUGAACCAGUACCGUGAGGGAAAGGUGAAAAGCACCCCGGAAGGGGAGUGAAAUAGAACCUGAAACCGUGUGCUUACAAGUAGUCAGAGCCCGUUAAUGGGUGAUGGCGUGCCUUUUGUAGAAUGAACCGGCGAGUUACGAUUUGAUGCAAGGUUAAGCAGUAAAUGUGGAGCCGUAGCGAAAGCGAGUCUGAAUAGGGCGUUUAGUAUUUGGUCGUAGACCCGAAACCAGGUGAUCUACCCUUGGUCAGGUUGAAGUUCAGGUAACACUGAAUGGAGGACCGAACCGACUUACGUUGAAAAGUGAGCGGAUGAACUGAGGGUAGCGGAGAAAUUCCAAUCGAACCUGGAGAUAGCUGGUUCUCUCCGAAAUAGCUUUAGGGCUAGCCUCAAGUGAUGAUUAUUGGAGGUAGAGCACUGUUUGGACGAGGGGCCCCUCUCGGGUUACCGAAUUCAGACAAACUCCGAAUGCCAAUUAAUUUAACUUGGGAGUCAGAACAUGGGUGAUAAGGUCCGUGUUCGAAAGGGAAACAGCCCAGACCACCAGCUAAGGUCCCAAAAUAUAUGUUAAGUGGAAAAGGAUGUGGCGUUGCCCAGACAACUAGGAUGUUGGCUUAGAAGCAGCCAUCAUUUAAAGAGUGCGUAAUAGCUCACUAGUCGAGUGACACUGCGCCGAAAAUGUACCGGGGCUAAACAUAUUACCGAAGCUGUGGAUUGUCCUUUGGACAAUGGUAGGAGAGCGUUCUAAGGGCGUUGAAGCAUGAUCGUAAGGACAUGUGGAGCGCUUAGAAGUGAGAAUGCCGGUGUGAGUAGCGAAAGACGGGUGAGAAUCCCGUCCACCGAUUGACUAAGGUUUCCAGAGGAAGGCUCGUCCGCUCUGGGUUAGUCGGGUCCUAAGCUGAGGCCGACAGGCGUAGGCGAUGGAUAACAGGUUGAUAUUCCUGUACCACCUAUAAUCGUUUUA